rnacentral:rRNA from 1 species
GACGAACGCUGGCGGCGUGCCUAAUACAUGCAAGUUGAGCGAUGAAGAUUGGUGCUUGCACCAAUUUGAAGAGCAGCGAACGGGUGAGUAACGCGUGGGGAAUCUGCCUUUGAGCGGGGGACAACAUUUGGAAACGAAUGCUAAUACCGCAUAAUAACUUUAAACAUAAGUUUUAAGUUUGAAAGAUGCAAUUGCAUCACUCAAAGAUGAUCCCGCGUUGUAUUAGCUAGUUGGUGAGGUAAAGGCUCACCAAGGCGAUGAUACAUAGCCGACCUGAGAGGGUGAUCGGCCACAUUGGGACUGAGACACGGCCCAAACUCCUACGGGAGGCAGCAGUAGGGAAUCUUCGGCAAUAGACGAAAGUCUGACCGAGCAACGCCGCGUGAGUGAAGAAGGUUUUCGGAUCGUAAAACUCGGUUGGUAGAGAAGAACGUUGGUGAGAGUGGAAAGCUCAUCAAGUGACGGUAACUACCCAGAAAGGGACGGCUAACUACGUG